rnacentral:rRNA from 2 species
GGUCAAGUGAAGAAGCGCAUACGGUGGAUGCCUUGGCAGUCAGAGGCGAUGAAAGACGUGGUAGCCUGCGAAAAGCUUCGGGGAGUCGGCAAACAGACUUUGAUCCGGAGAUGUCUGAAUGGGGGAACCCAGCCAUCAUAAGAUGGUUACCUUACACUGAAUACAUAGGUGUAUGGAGCGAACCAGGGGAACUGAAACAUCUAAGUACCCUGAGGAAAAGAAAUCAACCGAGAUUCCCUUAGUAGUGGCGAGCGAACGGGGACUAGCCCUUAAGUGGCUUUGAGAUUAGCGGAACGCUCUGGAAAGUGCGGCCAUAGUGGGUGAUAGCCCUGUACGCGAAAAUCUCUUAGUCAUGAAAUCGAGUAGGACGGAGCACGAGAAACUUUGUCUGAAUAUGGGGGGACCAUCCUCCAAGGCUAAAUACUACUGACUGACCGAUAGUGAACUAGUACCGUGAGGGAAAGGCGAAAAGAACCCCGGAGAGGGGAGUGAAAUAGAUCCUGAAACCGUAUGCGUACAAGCAGUGGGAGCCCACUUUGUUGGGUGACUGCGUACCUUUUGUAUAAUGGGUCAGCGACUUAUUUUCAGUGGCGAGCUUAACCGAAUAGGGGAGGCGUAGCGAAAGCGAGUCUUAAUAGGGCGUCUAGUCGCUGGGAAUAGACCCGAAACCGGGCGAUCUAUCCAUGGGCAGGUUGAAGGUUGGGUAACACUAACUGGAGGACCGAACCGACUACCGUUGAAAAGUUAGCGGAUGACCUGUGGAUCGGAGUGAAAGGCUAAUCAAGCUCGGAGAUAGCUGGUUCUCCUCGAAAGCUAUUUAGGUAGCGCCUCAUGUAUCACUGUAGGGGGUAGAGCACUGUUUCGGCUAGGGGGUCAUCCCGACUUACCAAACCGAUGCAAACUCCGAAUACCUACAAGUGCCGAGCAUGGGAGACACACGGCGGGUGCUAACGUCCGUCGUGAAAAGGGAAACAACCCAGACCGUCAGCUAAGGUCCCAAAGUUAUGGUUAAGUGGGAAACGAUGUGGGAAGGCUUAGACAGCUAGGAGGUUGGCUUAGAAGCAGCCACCCUUUAAAGAAAGCGUAAUAGCUCACUAGUCGAGUCGGCCUGCGCGGAAGAUGUAACGGGGCUCAAACCAUACACCGAAGCUACGGGUAUCACGUAAGUGAUGCGGUAGAGGAGCGUUCUGUAAGCCUGUGAAGGUGAGUUGAGAAGCUUGCUGGAGGUAUCAGAAGUGCGAAUGCUGACAUGAGUAACGACAAUGGGUGUGAAAAACACCCACGCCGAAAGACCAAGGUUUCCUGCGCAACGUUAAUCGACGCAGGGUUAGUCGGUCCCUAAGGCGAGGCUGAAAAGCGUAGUCGAUGGAAAACAGGUUAAUAUUCCUGUACUUCUGGUUAUUGCGAUGGAGGGACGGAGAAGGCUAGGCCAGCUUGGCGUUGGUUGUCCAAGUUUAAGGUGGUAGGCUGAGAUCUUAGGUAAAUCCGGGAUCUUAAGGCCGAGAGCUGAUGACGAGUCGUCUUUUAGACGACGAAGUGGUUGAUGCCAUGCUUCCAAGAAAAGCUUCUAAGCUUCAGGUAACCAGGAACCGUACCCCAAACCGACACAGGUGGUUGGGUAGAGAAUACCAAGGCGCUUGAGAGAACUCGGGUGAAGGAACUAGGCAAAAUGGCACCGUAACUUCGGGAGAAGGUGCGCCGGUGAGGGUGAAGGACUUGCUCCGUAAGCUCAUGCCGGUCGAAGAUACCAGGCCGCUGCGACUGUUUAUUAAAAACACAGCACUCUGCAAACACGAAAGUGGACGUAUAGGGUGUGACGCCUGCCCGGUGCCGGAAGGUUAAUUGAUGGGGUUAGCUAACGCGAAGCUCUUGAUCGAAGCCCCGGUAAACGGCGGCCGUAACUAUAACGGUCCUAAGGUAGCGAAAUUCCUUGUCGGGUAAGUUCCGACCUGCACGAAUGGCGUAACGAUGGCGGCGCUGUCUCCACCCGAGACUCAGUGAAAUUGAAAUCGCUGUGAAGAUGCAGUGUAUCCGCGGCUAGACGGAAAGACCCCGUGAACCUUUACUAUAGCUUUGCACUGGACUUUGAAUUUGCUUGUGUAGGAUAGGUGGGAGGCUUUGAAGCGUGGACGCCAGUCUGCGUGGAGCCAACCUUGAAAUACCACCCUGGCAACUUUGAGGUUCUAACUCAGGUCCGUUAUCCGGAUCGAGGACAGUGUAUGGUGGGUAGUUUGACUGGGGCGGUCUCCUCCUAAAGAGUAACGGAGGAGUACGAAGGUGCGCUCAGACCGGUCGGAAAUCGGUCGUAGAGUAUAAAGGCAAAAGCGCGCUUGACUGCGAGACAGACACGUCGAGCAGGUACGAAAGUAGGUCUUAGUGAUCCGGUGGUUCUGUAUGGAAGGGCCAUCGCUCAACGGAUAAAAGGUACUCCGGGGAUAACAGGCUGAUACCGCCCAAGAGUUCAUAUCGACGGCGGUGUUUGGCACCUCGAUGUCGGCUCAUCACAUCCUGGGGCUGAAGCCGGUCCCAAGGGUAUGGCUGUUCGCCAUUUAAAGUGGUACGCGAGCUGGGUUUAGAACGUCGUGAGACAGUUCGGUCCCUAUCUGCCGUGGACGUUUGAGAUUUGAGAGGGGCUGCUCCUAGUACGAGAGGACCGGAGUGGACGAACCUCUGGUGUUCCGGUUGUCACGCCAGUGGCAUUGCCGGGUAGCUAUGUUCGGAAUAGAUAACCGCUGAAAGCAUCUAAGCGGGAAACUAGCCUCAAGAUGAGAUCUCACUGGAACCUUGAGUUCCCUGAAGGGCCGUCGAAGACUACGACGUUGAUAGGUUGGGUGUGUAAGCGCUGUGAGGCGUUGAGCUAACCAAUACUAAUUGCCCGUGAGGCUUGACCAU